rnacentral:tRNA from 1 species
GGGCAUAUAGCUCAGUUGGUAGAGCGCUUGAAUGGCAUUCAAGAGGUCAGGGGUUCGAAUCCCCUUAUGUCCA